GGUUCGAUCCAUGGCUCAGAUUGAACGCUGGCGGGAUGCUUUACACAUGCAAGUCGAACGGCAGCACGGACUUCGGUCUGGUGGCGAGUGGCGAACAGGUGAGUAAUGUCGGAACGUGCCCUAGUAGCGGGGGAUAACUACGCUGAAAGCGUAGCUAAUACCAUGCACGCCCUUCGGGGAAAGCGGGGGACCUUCGGGCCUCGCACUAUUAGAGCGGCCGAUAUCGGAUUAGCUAGUUGGUGGGGUAACGGCUCGCAAGGCGACGAUCCGUAGCUGGUUUGAGAGGACGACCAGCCACACUGGGACUGAGACACGGCCCAGACUCCUGCGAAGUAGCGAUGAGGAAUUUUGGACAAUGGGAAACCUGAUCCAGCCAUCCCGCGUGUGCGAUGAAGGCCUUCGGUUGGCAAAGCACUUUUGGCAGAAAGAAACGGCACGGGAUAAUACCCACGUGCAACUGGCGAACCUGCAGAAUAAACGCCGGCUAACUACGUGCCAGCAGCCGCGGUAAUACGUAGGGUGCAGGCGUUAAUCAAUUACUGGGCGUGGCGUGCGCAGGCGGUUCGGAAGAAAGAUGUGAAAUCCCAGAGCUUAACUGAAACUUCAUUUUAACCACCGAGCUAGAAGUGUGUCAGAGGUGGAAUUCCGCGUGUAGCAGUGAAAUGCGUAGAUAUGCCGGAGGAACACCGAUGGCGAAGGCAGCCUCCUGGAAUUAACACUGACGCUCAUGCACGAAAGCAUUGGGAGCAAACAGAGUUAGAUACCCUGGUAGUCACGCCUAAAACGAUGUCAACUAGCUGUUGGGGCCUUCGGUGCCAAGUAGCGCAGCUAACGCUUGUGGGAUUGACCGCCUGGGGAGUACGGUCGCAAGAUUAAAACUCAAAGGAAUUGGGGACCCGCACAAGCGGUGGAUGAUGUGGAUUAAUUCGAUGCAACGCGAAAACCUUACCUACCCUUGACAUGUCUGGAAUCCCGAAGAGAUUUGGGAGUGCUCAUAAGAGAACCGGAACACAGGUGCUGCAUAGCUUGUCGUCAGCUCGUGUCGUGAGAUGUUGGGUUAAGUCCCGCAACGAGCGCAACCCUUGUCAUUAGUUGCUACGGGCACUCUAAUGAGACUGCCGGUGACAAACCGGAGGAAGGUGGGGAUGACGUCAAGUCCUCGCGGCCCUUAUGGGUAGGAGCCACACGUCAUACAAUGGUCAGGGACAGAGGGUCGCCAACCCGCGAGAGAACCAAUCCCAGAAACCCAAUCGUAGUCCGGAUCGCAGUCUACAACUCGACUGCGUGAAGUCGGAAUCGCUAGUAAUCGCGGAUCAGCAUGUCGCGGUGAAUACGUUCCCAGGUCUUGUACACACCGCCCGUCACACCAUGGGAGUGGGUUUUACCAAGUAAUUUAGCCUAACCGUAAGGAGGGCGAUUACUGCAGUAGGAUUCAUGACUGGGGUGAAGUCGUAACGAGUAA
rnacentral:rRNA from 1 species